CUGUAGAAGAUGAGAAAGAACACUUGCGUGCCUGCAUCCCGGAGUCAAUCGACGAUGAAUUCUAUUCCACUGGCCACUGUGGCCACUGUUCCUAGUGGUGGAAGAAGAAGAGAAUUCUAUUCCCGGACGGAGACGUCGGAAGGCUCGACGAAGCGUACGCCAUGAGGUUUCGCCCGUGAAGAACGCCAACAACAAGUGCAUGGGAGCGACACUGUUGUCUGCAACCAGUGUAACGUCGUCGGCGUCAGCUCUUGCGGUGUCGGCGGCGGCCCCACGCCGAUCCUUCUGAAUAGGCAGCGACGGCGAGGCUUAUGCACUCGGCGGCGGCGCAUCGGCGCGGCGGCACACACCUCUAUGGGCGUUUAUGUUUAUUCGCUCGGAGCAAAGCCCGAGCUGAGCGGAAGUGCGUCACCGAACCGGAAAUCGAUCGGUCGGGUGUAAAGCGAGGAGAAAAUUAAAUUCCAUACGCGACUGAGCGACAACGGCUUUGCGCUUGCGCAGUAUGAA